AAAAAAAAUCCAUAUUUUGUUGAUAUCUCAGAUCAAUCUCAAGCCUCCAUCUUCCAGUCAGAAAUGAUUGUUAGCCAUAUUCUGCAUGAGAUAGGAAUUAUCUUCAUUCUCUGUCUGUUCGAGGUCAAAGGCAUCGAGUUUCAGGAGUCCGGUCCCAAGAUAGUACCGGACGAGAAGGCAGAGGUCGUGAUCACCUGUAGCCAUAACGACAGCUCUAGGCCUCUGAUGCUGUGGUACCAGCAGAAACAGGGCUCAGGUCCCUUGGUCUUACUGGGUUAUAACUAUGGAGCCACUACAUCCAACUAUGAGGACGGCAUUAAAGAGCAGUUUGAGAUCAAAAUGGACGACAGUCAGAGCGGAUCCCUGGCAGUUCGGGAGGCAAAUGUGACACACACGGCGGUGUACUUCUGCGCUGCUGGUGAGCACAGUGAUGUGGUUUUGAACCGUGUGCGCACUAAAACGCUCCUCUGUCUAUCGAGUCGAUGAUGAACAGUACUAGGCAGGAGAGGGUGUGUCUUAUUCUUCAUGAAACAGACUUGAUCUGAAGGAUGGUCUGUAUGUCUUUCUGAAAACAACAUGAGGACAGGAUGUC